GAUGAACGCUGGCGGCGUGCCUAAUACAUGCAAGUCGAGCGAACAGACGAGGAGCUUGCUCCUUUGACGUUAGCGGCGGACGGGUGAGUAACACGCGGAUAACCUACCUAUAAGACUGGGAUAACUUCGGGAAACCGGAGCUAAUACCGGAUAAUAUAUUGAACCGCAUGGUUCAAUAGUGAAAGACGGUUUUGCUGUCACUUAUAGAUGGAUCCGCGCCGCAUUAGCUAGUUGGUAAGGUAACGGCUUACCAAGGCGACGAUGCGUAGCCGACCUGAGAGGGUGAUCAGCCACACUGGAACUGAGACACGGUCCAGACUCCUACGGGAGGCAGCAGUAGGGAAUCUUCCGCAAUGGGCGAAAGCCUGACGGAGCAACGCCGCGUGAGUGAUGAAGGUCUUCGGAUCGUAAAGCUCUUUUAUUAGGGAAGAACAAAUGUGUAAGUAACUAUGCACGUCUUGACGGUACCUAAUCAGAAAGCCACGGCUAACUACGUG
rnacentral:rRNA from 1 species